rnacentral:piRNA from 1 species
UGGAAACUUUCUGACUGCCAAAAAU